UACGAAGGGUGCAAGCGUUACUCGGAAUUACUGGGCGUAAAGGGUGCGUAGGUGGUUCUUUAAGUCUGGUGUGAAAGGUUCAGGGCUCAACCCGAACAGUGCACUGGAUACUGGAGAGCUUGAGUUAGGGAGAGGAGAGUGGAAUUCCUGGUGUAGCGGUGAAAUGCGUAGAUAUCAGGAGGAACACCGAUGGCGAAGGCAGCUCUCUGGCCUAUAACUGACGCUGAGGUGCGAAAGCGUGGGGAGCAAACGGG
rnacentral:rRNA from 1 species